rnacentral:ncRNA from 2 species
CGGCGUCACUCGGGGUGCCAAGAAGGCUGAGAGGGCACGCGCAACUGCCGCGCCCAACCCGUUGAACCUGAUCUGGUUAAGACCAGCGGAGGGAACGUGAUGGGAACCCCAA